GACGAACGCUGGCGGCGUGCCUAAUACAUGCAAGUCGAACGCAGUGGGGACGGGUGAGUAACACGUGGGUAACCUCCCAUCAGAGGGGAUAACACUUGGAAACAGGUGCUAAACCGAUACUGAUGGAUGGACCCGCGGUGCAUUAGCUAGUUGGUGAGGUAACGGCUCACCAAGGCCACGAUGCAUAGCCGACCGUAGAGGGGUAGCGGCCACCCUGGGACUGAAGCAAUGCCCAGACUCCUACGGGAGGCAGCAGUAGGGAAUGUUCGGCAAUGGACGAAAGUCGGACCGGGCAACGCCGCGUGAGUGAAGAAGGUUUUCGGAUUGGAAAACCCUGUUGUUAGAGAAGCGGGAUCUAACCAGAAAGCCACGGCUAACUACGGUCCAGCAGCCGCGGUAAUAC
rnacentral:rRNA from 1 species